ACGGGAAUAGCUCAGUUGGUAGAGCACAACCUUGCCAAGGUUGGGGUCGUAUUUUAUGACAAGAUGCGAGUAUCGUUUCCUGUU
rnacentral:tRNA from 1 species